AGAGUUUGAUCCUGGCUCAGGACGAACGCUGGCGGCGUGCUUAACACAUGCAAGUCGAGCGGUAAGGCCCUUUCGGGGGUACACGAGCGGCGAACGGGUGAGUAACACGUGAGCAAUCUGCCCUUCACACAGGGAUAACCUCGGGAAACCGAUGCUAAUACCUGAUACGACCACUUCAGGCAUCUGAUGGUGGUGGAAAGUUCCGGCGGUGAAGGAUGAGCUCGCGGCCUAUCAGCUUGUUGGUGGGGUAAUGGCCUACCAAGGCAACGACGGGUAGCCGGCCUGAGAGGGUGACCGGCCACACUGGGACUGAGACACGGCCCAGACUCCUACGGGAGGCAGCAGUGGGGAAUAUUGGACAAUGGGCGAAAGCCUGAUCCAGCAACGCCGCGUGAGGGAUGACGGCCUUCGGGUUGUAAACCUCUUUCAGCAGGGACGAAGCGCAAGUGACGGUACCUGCAGAAGAAGCACCGGCCAACUACGUGCCAGCAGCCGCGGUAAUACGUAGGGUGCGAGCGUUGUCCGGAAUUAUUGGGCGUAAAGGGCUCGUAGGCGGUUUGUCGCGUCGGGAGUGAAAACUCAGGGCUUAACCCUGAGCCUGCUUCCGAUACGGGCAGACUAGAGGUAUGCAGGGGAGAACGGAAUUCCUGGUGUAGCGGUGAAAUGCGCAGAUAUCAGGAGGAACACCGGUGGCGAAGGCGGUUCUCUGGGCAUUACCUGACGCUGAGGAGCGAAAGUGUGGGGAGCGAACAGGAUUAGAUACCCUGGUAGUCCACACCGUAAACGUUGGGCGCUAGGUGUGGGACUCAUUCCACGAGUUCCGUGCCGCAGCUAACGCAUUAAGCGCCCCGCCUGGGGAGUACGGCCGCAAGGCUAAAACUCAAAUGAAUUGACGG
rnacentral:rRNA from 1 species